UACGAAGGGGGCUAGCGUUGCUCGGAAUCACUGGGCGUAAAGCGCACGUAGGCGGAUCCUUAAGUCGGGGGUGAAAUCCUGGAGCUCAACUCCAGAACUGCCUUUGAUACUGGGGAGCUCGAGUCCGGAAGAGGUGAGUGGAACUCCGAGUGUAGAGGUGAAAUUCGUAGAUAUUCGGAAGAACACCAGUGGCGAAGGCGGCUCACUGGUCCGGUACUGACGCUGAGGUGCGAAAGCGUGGGGAGCAAACAGG
rnacentral:rRNA from 1 species